GCUGAUGUGGCUCAGUUGGUAGAGCAAAUGACUCUUAAUCUUAGCGCUGUGGUUUCAAGCCCCACCAUUUGGUA